rnacentral:rRNA from 1 species
AACGAACGCUGGCGGCAGGCUUAACACAUGCAAGUCGAACGAGAUCUUCGGAUCUAGUGGCAGACGGGUGAGGAACACGUGGGAACAUCCCUUUCAGUUCGGAAUAACGUUGGGAAACUAACGCUAAUACCGGAUACGCCCUUCGGGAGAAAGAUUUAUCGCUGAAAGAUUGGCCCGCGUCUGAUUAGCUAGUUGGUGAGGUAACGGCUCACCAAGGCUACGAUCAGUAGCUGAUCUGAGAGGAUGAUCAGCCACAUUGGGACUGAGACACGGACCAAACUCCUACGGGAGGCAGCAGUGGGGAAUAUUGGACAAUGGGCGCAAGCCUGAUCCAGCCAUGCCGCGUGAGUGAUGACGGCCUUCGGGUUGUAAAGCUCUUUUGUCCGGGAAGAUAAUGACUGUACCGGAAGAAUAAGCCCCGGCAAACUUCGUGCCAGCCGCCGCGGUAA